AGGCGUUAAUAAUGAACUGAUUACAAUAACUAUGAAGCCAUGGUUCAUUACCUGUUCUAUAAAAGUAUAGUCAGACAUUGUAACGAUAUCAUUAACUACAAAAUGAGAUUCUUGGUGCUAUUUUCUGUGCUCUUUGCGCUCGUGUGUGCCGCAAUGGGUGAAUUCGACUACACUGCAAAUUAUGCCAGACUUGCUUCCCAAAUCCCACCCAAUGUCAACGUCCGAAAUUUGGUUAAAUCUCUUCAUGCAGCUAGAAACUUACAUCAACAUCAAUAGCUUUUUGACAUCUCAUUGAAGUAAAUAUGAUUUCGAAUUAUAAAGAUCUGAUUUUGAUAAAUUUUAACAAUAGACCAAUUCUCUUACACCUGCAGAUAUGUAUAUCCCACUAAUUUAAAUUGAUGUUCAGUUAUCGAAUCCAACGUUUUAUAUUAAAGUAAUAAAGCGUGCUAUUAUCUAA